UACGGGGGGAGCAAGCGUUGUUCGGAUUUACUGGGCGUAAAGGGCGCGUAGGCGGCCAGCACAAGUCAGUUGUGAAAUCUCCGAGCUUAACUCGGAACGGUCAACUGAUACUGUGCGGCUAGAGUGCAGAAGGGGCAACUGGAAUUCCUGGUGUAGCGGUGGAAUGCGCAGAUAUCAGGAGGAACACCAAUAGCGAAGGCAGCUCGCUGGGACGGUAUUGACGCUGAGACGCGAAAGCGUGGGGAGCGAACAGG
rnacentral:rRNA from 1 species